rnacentral:antisense_RNA from 1 species
UUUGAUCGAACCCAACCACAGCGGCCGCUCGGACGGACGGCCUUGCCCAUAGGUGGCCAAUAGCGCCUGCGCUUC